CCCGUAAAAAAAAUUUGCUAAAGAUCUAGAAGAAAUGAAAUAGCUCAGGAAAAAUAGAUUUGCCCGACCAGACCCAUCUUCCCCAAUCUGGACGGCCCCACCUCCCCACGCCGUCGACGUCGCCAACUGCGCCAACCUCCCCACGAUGGUCAUCGCCUAAGAACCCCUCGCCUCUGCUUAUUGCUGGGGCAGUCGCCACUGCUGACGUUCCCCGUCGUCAUCGGCUCCUUCAUGCCCAUCUGCCAUCUCAAGGGCCCCUCGCCCUGCGCUCUACUGGACCUUCAGCGUCGCCGCCCUCAGCCGCCUGCGAGCCUUCGCCAGGUCUCCCCGCGCGCCAGGUCGUCUCUAUGUGCCGCCGCUUGAAGCUCCCCUGCUCGCGGCCCUCACCCACCGCCGCACUGGCCUAUCUGAUUAAUUGACGGUGCCGCCGACGCUGGUUCGUGGGAGUUGAUUACGGCAGCGUACAACCACCACUUCAUAGAGAACAUGGAAGAGGAGAAAGUAAAUGCAAAUGCCCAGCAGGUAGCCGGACCUUGGGACUCCAUCAGCGUCAACAAUGAGUGUAGUAAUCUGUGCAGAAAAACUCCUUUCGCAUAUCAGGUUCAAUCCACACUUCUCUCUGCCAGUCUGAAUGCUCCAUUUUUGUUUGCUAGAGUAUUUGACAUUGACAAUGUACUCCAACUAUUUUAUGAGUUGAACUUGCCAUGAAUUCAAUUCUAUAAAAGAGUUAACCUCAGGAAUUUGUUUAUCAGCCACUAAUACCGCAAAAAACUAUAGAACAAUGUUAUUACUGGUAAUGGAUAGAUGCACUGCAGAAAUAUGAAUAAUUUUGGUCAAAAGAAUGCAGGGCUGCUCUUUCUUAUUAGUUAUCCCUCUCAUGGUUCUUAAUAGAUCCCCUGGAAGCUCUUGAACCUACGGUGGAGUCAGUUCCCCGUCAGUAGGAACUGCUUGCGUUAGGCCAUCAGACUGUUAGUUGUAACCAUGUUAUUCGGUCGAGCUUUUCCAUCCAGCUGUCGAAAUAGUAUCAAAGUAGAAGUUGUUAAACAUGAAACUACCAAGUUAUGUACUCUGCUAUUAUGGUUGUGAUUUGUGAAGCUCGUACAGUCUGCUUGAUGUCUACACCAAAUUUACUUCAGGCAACAGGAUGAUGAGUUAUGGCAAGUCUUCAGGAUGUAGGGCUAAUCAUAGACGAAGAAUUCAUUGGCCAGGAGAGUGUCCGAGAGUAAAUUUUACGAAGCUUAGUCCAUGCGCUGUCCCUCGCCGGUGGCACUCGCGACGGAGGACUCCCUGCAUGGCUCCUCGGCAGCUCGACUACUCUCCGAGAACGGACGGCGGCGGACGCGGCUCACAUCCCCGACGUGGUGGCCGUCGUCUUGACUCCCUUCGAUGAUAGGUGACACCAUCCGCGUGGCACCCGUGGCGCACGCAAGACGACGGCCUUCAACUUGCAGCGCUGCCGCAUGACACGCUCCAGCCCAAGGCAGCUGGCAGUCCCGACGUCAGGCAGAUGGUGCCCCCGAAGCGGAGCCACAACUAACUACAACAACAAGGAUCCUCAAGGAUCAGUGAGGGGUAUGAUUUCAUGUGUUUGGUUUCACGACGGUCUGGUUCUGCGUCCAUGGGGAGAUGGCCAUGCUCAUGUAGCGGUUCAAAUUCGGCGCCGCGCAAUGCGCGAUAGAGCGUUAUUGUGUUAUGCUGCUACCCGGUGUGCCACACAAGCCUCUGUGACCUCUCCUUGCUGUUGUCAUCAGCGUCGUCGGCAACGCCCUUGACGGCGAAGUGGCCGUGAGCUUCGUUACCAUCUUUCCUAGCUAAACCCCUAUAGCCCAAAAGUCCAUAUUGGCAAAAUAAUAUUACUGAAUCUGCUAUGUGAUAUGAUUUCUUUAUCUAACAAAUUCAUGUAUAUGUUACUAUCGUAGGGCUACAGUCUGACAGAACCAUCUGGUUGUAUGGCCACGAUGGCUUGGCUGGAGGAGAGUCCAUGGCGUACGAUUCCAUAAGAAAUCUGGCUUAGAUCCAUCUACCAUUGAGGAGGUUGGGCUGGGUCAACGAGCCAAGCCCUGGAUCUGGGCCACUCAUCAUGAAAGGGUCACUAUUUUGGGCAUACAAUAAUUUUAGCAAGACAAGAAGUAAGCGUCAUUGACCUAUGAGGAUUCAGUUUCAAGAGAAGAACGCAAAAUCUAUAACCUCCCCAGUUCCUCUGUUUGCAAAUAUGUCUAUUGGAAAACUUUUCAGCAACCUUGAAAAGCUGGUGAAUCUCGCACCACCCCUCGUCGUCACCUGCCACCCCAAUGGCCGGAUCCCGUGGCCGCCGGUCGACGCCAUCCAUUCGCAGUGCGGAUCCGCGCUGCCGCCGCCACGAGCGAAGCGUGGGUGCGUCCUCCUCACUCCGCCACCACGAUGUCGCGCCCCCCUCCGACGGGCUCGCCGGCUUCCCCGAUCUCCCCGCGCCGCCACCGCCGUAGAGGAAGUACCUUGGCGUCCGACAGCAGGCGUUGAGGACGUGGGUGUCCGAAAUCAUGGAUCAGGAGACCCACAAGAAGCAUUGUGUGGGCCCUUUUCACACCGUCGUGCUCGCCGCAAAGGAGUACAAUCGGUGGCAGCUCCGGCUGCACAGCGCCGCUGCCUUUCCUGAACUUUGCGUUUGUGGAGGGUCCUUUGCAGCCUCCACCGCCGCGGGGGGUGGUGACAGGAGCUAUGGGUACGGAGGACCGGGAGGAGAGUGAGCGCAUUGCGUCGGAGGCCGCCGACAAGGAGUACAUGGCGGACCUCCACCGCAGGUACCAUGAGCUGGUGGUGCUGGAGCGCAAGCUCUUCGUGGAGGCGAAGCGCGGGGUCGACGGCGAGGCAUCAUCCUCUCGGACGACGAGGAGGACGGCGAUGCAGAGGACGACGAGGACUUCAACUUAAAGAGUUGCGGCGAAUCUUCCCCGACUGCGGCGACGACGACACAGGGCCAGACCUGGUGGGCGGUGGGAUUUCCCCGGCGGAUUGGCUCGCCCUCUACAAGAUUGACGAUGUUUAGUUUUAGCUGGAGUUCAUAUUUGGGUUUAACUUCAAGUUCAUGUUUAGGUCUAAAAACUAGAUUAUGUUUUAUGUACAUUAUGUGUCGAAUUCCGGUUGCUUAAAUUGAAUCUAUGUUGAACUUAUAAAA